AGUGGCUUGUUAUGGCUUAAUAGUCUUCAGUGUUCAUCUACUACUGAUUGUAUAACUGAUUGCCUCUCCAGUCGCAAUUGCUAUAUAAAUACUUGCUCACAUAGUUAUUAUCCUUACAUUAGAUGCAAUUUUAAUUCAACUAAAGUAAGUCUGGCUAUUGGAUCGAUGAGCAAUUGUUCCUCAAACAUUGGAGGGCCUCAAUCUGGUGCUGUGAUACUGGAGAGAGAUGGUCAGUAUUCUUUAUCUCAUACUUCAGGUCGUGUUGUGGUCUAUGGCGUCGGUUCAUCUACAGUCAGUUCAAGGUCCUGGGGUAACAUUUGCAGGAGAAAUACUUUCAGUCUAACAGCAGCUAACGUGAUAUGCCACCAGUUGUCCUUCACUGGUGCUAUAACCUGGUCCUAUGCUGCUGUUG